AACAUGUUAGCAAAUAAAUGCAUUUGAUUUAAGCUCAAAAGAUAGACCGACUUAACAACCUCUACAUGUUA
rnacentral:tRNA from 1 species